GCUAGCUCUGUUUCUGCAUUAGUUGAAGGAAUCCUUUCUUCAUAAGCUCAUUGGCAUUGCAUAUAUAAGUGAGCCAAUAAACUAGAUAGUCCUGGAUCAAGCGAAGAAGCUAGUGGAAAUAUCAUUCAUCAACUCAGUUUCGAAGAAGAUAUAUCGACAGUACUCUAUAUAUUCAGUGUCCAUAACCACUUAACCAGGAACAAACUCCAACAACAAAAUAAGAGCAGUGAAAGGUGUUAAAGAUCUGGGAAUAUCAAGGUUUGGUAAAAACAAACAUGUGCCCAGGAAGUGAUCUUGAAUCUCGGGGAAGUACUUUAAACGGUGAUCACCAGAACCAGCUUUUGAAGAGCUACAAUGAGGAAACAGGUGAUGGGGAUAAAUUCAUUCAUGGGUUUUUGCGGAAGAUUCAAGUCAGACAACUACUCAGCAGGUUGCCAUUGACCGAGACAAGAGAACCUCUGA